CUCUGCCGUUUCGGCGGUUCAUCAAGAAAUUCGAAUCGCUCAUGGAGAAAGUUCUCUCCGCCGGAUCGGGAGUUCGCCAGAGAUCGGUCGGAUACGCCGGCGGAUAAGCGGCGGAAUGAGGCUGAAGAUCAAGCCGAGACCGAUCGUCAAUCCCGUAUUCAGGAUGUGUUCGGUUCUGAGGAUGAAGCAGAGUGAUGUCCUCCAUUACUGCUGAUCUCAUACAUUUGCCUGGUGCUGUGAAGGAAGAUCUCGAAGAUAAUCAGAGCUUUUUGUCAGAAUGAAUUUUUACGCCGUGCUGCAAAGAAGAGGAGGUAGUCAGUGUUUUCCUGAAAAUGAGUGAAACAAAACUGAAAGUGUGCUGUGUUGGGAAGGAGAAGAGCGUGCCGGGAAGACGUUGAAGCUUUUACACUUCAGGUUGUUCUUAAGCCGGCCCUAGAUCAGCGUGCAUGCUCGGAUAAUCUUGCUAACUGAGAACAUGUUAGGGUGUGGUAAGUGUUUUGGCAGUAAUCAUUUUCCCAGCGAUGUCUUCAUCGGGUGAUGAUAAGAAACAGAGGAAUGUCCCCCGCUAAGGAUGAUCUUGAAGAAGGGGUCUUGUAUGUUGUGCAGUUUUUUGGAUGGUAAGGAGUUUUAUUUAAGAGAAUGAUAAAAGCUUUGCGGGCUUAUUUUCCGUUUCGUGGGUCAGUUUUCAGAGUAGUCUGAAUGCGGAAAACUAUAAUGAUCUGAAAAAUGGAACUAAAAAUAGAGUGCAGCUAUCGGGAAGCUAAAUGAAGGUAACAAUCUGGUUGUACUUUCUUUGACGCACUUGUUUUAGUUUUGGGUGUUAGAGAGAAUACUAGUUAGGAAGAAUGGAAGGGGACCGGAUUAAAAGUUUCAAAAUGAGUUUAGCUCGCGAGUUGAUUCAUUAUCGACUCGUUUUUUCGUUGA